rnacentral:lncRNA from 1 species
UCCUGUUAAUCCUAAAGUGUUAUAUGUGCUUGUGUGUUGGUGUCCUCUACAUGUUUGUUCUUAUACUUACGAGAACUGAAAAUAUUCUGUUUUUCAGGUAUCCGUUCAAGUGGUUGCUGGCUAAUGUAUGAUGGAUAAAGAGUAGCGUCUUGGUAUUUAUGGUAUGUACGUGUAGUUUUAAAUUGAAAUUUCAAAACAUCUUUUACAAAUAACUAGUAGCAAAAUCCAGGUUGUGAGAAGAAAAGUGGACCUCAAUGCUACCGUACAAUUAAUAGGAUACUAUGUUGCUUCCAGCCCGUGGAUAAGAAUGUUUUAGUCGCUGGGGUCCUAGAGAGAUUGGUGAACAGAUGAAGCUGAUGGGAGAUCUCUGGUCACCUGCAAGUUAAGCUAAUUUAAGAUCAAGUUCGACGGUUACUUAGUUUCAAGUUCAGCAGUACCGCAGUAGUUAGUAUUCAAGUUCAGCAGCAAUUUUGUAAUAGUGAUUUCUGAAAUUUUCAUGCUGUUGGUUAGUUACUGCUAAGUGGCAUUCAAUUGUAUCAGGACGAAUUUUAUUUGUAAUCUCAAGGCUGGAAUUUGUUUUAGUGAGAUAUUUCCUGAAACCACUACAUGGAAUAUAUUUAUGACACCACAUUGUUACUCCGUGGUUAUCAAGAAUGCCUUGUG